rnacentral:misc_RNA from 1 species
UCCGUCAAUUCCUUUAAGUUUCACCGUUGCCGGCGUACUCCCCAGGUGGAAUACUUAAUGCUUUCGCUUGGCCGCUUACUGUAUAUCGCAAACAGCGAGUAUUCAUCGUUUACUGUGUGGACUACCAGGGUAUCUAAUCCUGUUUGAUACCCACACUUUCGAGCAUCAGUGUCAGUUGCAGUCUAGUGAGCUGCCUUCGCAAUCGGAGUUCUUCGUGAUAUCUAAGCAUUUCACCGCUACACCACGAAUUCCGCCCACCUCUACUGUACUCAAGACUGCCAGUUUCAACUGCAAUUUUACGGUUGAGCCGCAAACUUUCACAACUGACUUAACAAUCCACCUACGCUCCCUUUAAACCCAAUAAAUCCGGAUAACGCUCGGAUCCUCCGUAUUACCGCGG